GGGUUGUGAGGUUAAGCGACUAAGCGUACACGGUGGAUGCCCUGGCAGUCAGAGGCGAUGAAGGACGUGCUAAUCUGCGAAAAGCGUCGGUAAGGUGAUAUGAACCGUUACAGCCGGCGAUGUCCGAAUGGGGAAACCCAGUGCAAUUCGUUGCACUAUCGUUAACUGAAUACAUAGGUUAACGAGGCGAACCGGGGGAACUGAAACAUCUAAGUACCCCGAGGAAAAGAAAUCAACCGAGAUUCCCCCAGUAGCGGCGAGCGAACGGGGAGCAGCCCAGAGUCUGAAUCAGCUUGUGUGUUAGUGGAACGGUCUGGAAAGUCCGACGGUACAGGGUGAUAGUCCCGUACACCAAAAUGCACAGGCUGUGAACUCGAAGAGUAGGGCGGGACACGUGGUAUCCUGUCUGAAUAUGGGGGGACCAUCCUCCAAGGCUAAAUACUCCUGACUGACCGAUAGUGAACCAGUACCGUGAGGGAAAGGCGAAAAGAACCCCGGCGAGGGGAGUGAAAAAGAACCUGAAACCGUGUACGUACAAGCAGUGGGAGCACCUUCGGGUGUGACUGCGUACCUUUUGUAUAAUGGGUCAGCGACUUAUAUUCUGUAGCAAGGUUAACCGUAUAGGGGAGCCGCAGGGAAACCGAGUCUUAACUGGGCGUUAAGUUGCAGGGUAUAGACCCGAAACCCGGUGAUCUAGCCAUGGGCAGGUUGAAGGUUGGGUAACACUAACUGGAGGACCGAACCGACUAAUGUUGAAAAAUUAGCGGAUGACUUGUGGCUGGGGGUGAAAGGCCAAUCAAACCGGGAGAUAGCUGGUUCUCCCCGAAAGCUAUUUAGGUAGCGCCUCGUGAACUCAUCUUCGGGGGUAGAGCACUGUUUCGGCUAGGGGGUCAUCCCGACUUACCAACCCGAUGCAAACUACGAAUACCGAAGAAUGUUAUCACGGGAGACACACGGCGGGUGCUAACGUCCGUCGUGAAGAGGGAAACAACCCAGACCGCCAGCUAAGGUCCCAAAGUCACAGUUAAGUGGGAAACGAUGUGGGAAGGCACAGACAGCCAGGAUGUUGGCUUAGAAGCAGCCAUCAUUUAAAGAAAGCGUAAUAGCUCACUGGUCGAGUCGGCCUGCGCGGAAGAUGUAACGGGGCUAAACUGUGCACCGAAGCUGCGGCAGCGACACUAUGUGUUGUUGGGUAGGGGAGCGUUCUGUAAGCCUGCGAAGGUGGCCUGUGAGGGUUGCUGGAGGUAUCAGAAGUGCGAAUGCUGACAUAAGUAACGAUAAUGCGGGUGAAAAGCCCGCACGCCGGAAGACCAAGGGUUCCUGUCCAACGUUAAUCGGGGCAGGGUGAGUCGACCCCUAAGGCGAGGCCGAAAGGCGUAGUCGAUGGGAAACAGGUUAAUAUUCCUGUACUUGGUGUUACUGCGAAGGGGGGACGGAGAAGGCUAUGUUAGCCGGGCGACGGUUGUCCCGGUUUAAGCAUGUAGGCGGAGGUUCCAGGUAAAUCCGGUACCUUUUUAACGCUGAGGUGUGAUGACGAGGCACUACGGUGCUGAAGUAACAAAUGCCCUGCUUCCAGGAAAAGCCUCUAAGCAUCAGGUAACAUUGAAUCGUACCCCAAACCGACACAGGUGGUCAGGUAGAGAAUACCAAGGCGCUUGAGAGAACUCGGGUGAAGGAACUAGGCAAAAUGGUGCCGUAACUUCGGGAGAAGGCACGCUGAUAUGUAGGUGAAGCCCCUGCGGGUGGAGCUGAAAUCAGUCGAAGAUACCAGCUGGCUGCAACUGUUUAUUAAAAACACAGCACUGUGCAAACACGAAAGUGGACGUAUACGGUGUGACGCCUGCCCGGUGCCGGAAGGUUAAUUGAUGGGGUUAUCCGUAAGGAGAAGCUCUUGAUCGAAGCCCCGGUAAACGGCGGCCGUAACUAUAACGGUCCUAAGGUAGCGAAAUUCCUUGUCGGGUAAGUUCCGACCUGCACGAAUGGCGUAAUGAUGGCCAGGCUGUCUCCACCCGAGACUCAGUGAAAUUGAACUCGCUGUGAAGAUGCAGUGUACCCGCGGCAAGACGGAAAGACCCCGUGAACCUUUACUAUAGCUUGACACUGAACAUUGAGCCUUGAUGUGUAGGAUAGGUGGGAGGCUUUGAAGCGUGGACGCCAGUCUGCGUGGAGCCAACCUUGAAAUACCACCCUUUAAUGUUUGAUGUUCUAACGUUGGCCCCUGAUCGGGGUUGCGGACAGUGUCUGGUGGGUAGUUUGACUGGGGCGGUCUCCUCCCAAAGAGUAACGGAGGAGCACGAAGGUUAGCUAAUCCUGGUCGGACAUCAGGAGGUUAGUGCAAUGGCAUAAGCUAGCUUGACUGCGAGCGUGACGGCGCGAGCAGGUGCGAAAGCAGGUCAUAGUGAUCCGGUGGUUCUGAAUGGAAGGGCCAUCGCUCAACGGAUAAAAGGUACUCCGGGGAUAACAGGCUGAUACCGCCCAAGAGUUCAUAUCGACGGCGGUGUUUGGCACCUCGAUGUCGGCUCAUCACAUCCUGGGGCUGAAGUAGGUCCCAAGGGUAUGGCUGUUCGCCAUUUAAAGUGGUACGCGAGCUGGGUUUAGAACGUCGUGAGACAGUUCGGUCCCUAUCUGCCGUGGGCGCUGGAGAAUUGAGGGGGGCUGCUCCUAGUACGAGAGGACCGGAGUGGACGCAUCACUGGUGUUCGGGUUGUCAUGCCAAUGGCAUUGCCCGGUAGCUAAAUGCGGAAGAGAUAAGUGCUGAAAGCAUCUAAGCACGAAACUUGCCCCGAGAUGAGUUCUCCCUGACUCCUUGAGAGUCCUGAAGGAACGUUAAAGACGAUGACGUUGAUAGGUCGGGUGUGUAAGCGUAGCGAUACGUUGAGCUAACCGAUACUAAUGAACCGUGAGGCUUAACCUUACAACGCCGAAGCUGUU
rnacentral:rRNA from 1 species